rnacentral:rRNA from 1 species
GAUAUGGCUCAGGAUGAACGCUAGCUACAGGCUUAACACAUGCAAGUCGAGGGGCAGCAUUUCAGUUUGCUUGCAAACUGGAGAUGGCGACCGGCGCACGGGUGAGUAACACGUAUCCAACCUGCCGAUAACUCGGGGAUAGCCUUUCGAAAGAAAGAUUAAUACCCGAUGGUAUAAUUAGACCGCAUGGUCUUGUUAUUAAAGAAUUUCGGUUAUCGAUGGGGAUGCGUUCCAUUAGGCAGUUGG